rnacentral:sRNA from 1 species
AUUCUGCCCAUGCGGGGAAGGAUGAGAAGGUUCGACUCGAGGCCAGCGAGAGAGCGUUGCCGCAGGCAACGACCCGUAGGGCGAAGCGCGCAGCGCUGAGUAAUCCUUCCCCCACCACCA